AUUGAACGCUGGCGGCAGGCCUAACACAUGCAAGUCGAGCGAGCGGCGGACGGGUGAGUAAUGUAUGGGGACUGCCCGAUAGAGGGGGAUAACUACUGGAAACGGUGGCUAAUACCGCAUACUAUCGGAUUACCCAUAUGGGAUUAGCUAGUAGGUGGGGUAAAGGCUCACCUAGGCGACGAUCUCUAGCUGGUCUGAGAGGAUGAACAGCGACUCUGAGACGGAGAUGCGGCCCAGACUACUACGGAGGCAGAAGUGGGGAAAAUUGCAGCAUGGGCGAAGGAGUGAUGCAGCGUGGCCGCGUGAGGGAUGAAGGCUUUAAAGUUGUAAACGUCUUGCGCAAUCGAACGGGUAGGUGGAGAAGAAGCGCCGGCUAACUACGUGCCAGCAGCCGCGGUAAUAC
rnacentral:rRNA from 1 species